GGCGGAGUAGCUCAGUUGGUUAGAGCGCGGGAAUCAUAAUCCUGAUGUCGGGGGUUCAAGUCCCUCCUCCGCUACCA
rnacentral:tRNA from 1 species